GCUUAUUAUAAGUUAAGGCGCCUCGCAACAUUCGUGUAUCGCUAGCCGCUCUUUCGCAGCUCAAAUUAGGGUUUCGUUGCCCUUCCCUUCCUCGCUGAUCUGAAUUCGAUGGAAUACUUGCAGAUCUUCUCGAUUUUGCUGAUAACUUGAGGAGAAUAUCGAUAUUAUGUGUGCGGUAGAUGGGGAUGAAGCAAAAUCAAUAAUCCAACACUUGAUCUGAUACUUUUAAGUGAAGUUAAACGAUUACUGUAUGCUCCUGAAUCUACCUACUAUUGCUCGUUAAGUUAAGAUGCUUGUAAUUUUUUAACUUUCGUCUCUGGUUGUCUUACCUGCGAGGAUAUACUUUUUCACUGUGAAAGUAUGUAUUGUAUUAUGCAUCAGGUGAUGAAAUUGGAAAAAUCUUAGGACACCUUCCAACACGGCAGUAUUGCCGUGGAUGAGAAAAAAAAUUCCAUGCUGAUGAUGUAUUUCACAGUUUAGGGGAUUCAAUUUCCCCUGAAUUGAGUUUAUUUGUACUUGAGAAGAAUGAAAAUUUUCGGCCUUGAGAUUGUAAUGAGAUUUACAGUGAGAGGUCGACCUUCAUUCUGAGAUGUUGAGUCUGAAGCUCUUGGGCUGUGUGGGUUUCUAUGUUAUGCCCCCAUUUUGUAUUAUGCUCUUGGCGGAUGCGAUAGAAAUAAAUCGGUUGGAACUCCUUGAUUUUUUUUAUUAGGCAAAA